rnacentral:rRNA from 1 species
UACGGAGGGUGCAAGCGUUAUCCGGAAUCAUUGGGGUUAAAGGGUCCGCAGGCGGUCUUAUAAGUCAGUGGUGAAAGCCUACAGCUCAACUGUAGAACUGCCAUUGAUACUGUAGGACUUGAAUUCGGUCGAAGUGGGCGGAAUAUGACAUGUAGCGGUGAAAUGCUUAGAUAUGUCAUAGAACACCGAUAGCGAAGGCAGCUCACUAGGCCUGGAUUGACGCUCAUGGACGAAAGCGUGGGGAGCAAACAGG